rnacentral:rRNA from 1 species
CCCCUACGACUGUGAAGAAGGUCUUCGGACCGUAAAAGCUCUGUUGCUCAUGACGGAAGGGCAGUAAGUUAAUACCUUGCUGUUUUGACGUUACCGACAGAAUAAGCACCGGCUAACUUCGUGCCAGCAGCCGCGGUAAUACGAAGGGUGCAAGCGUUAAUCGGAAUUACUGGGCGUAAAGCGAGCGCAGGUGGUUUAUUAAGUCUGGUGUAAAAGGCAGUGGCUCAACCAUUGUAUGCAUUGGAAACUGGUAGACUUGAGUGCAGGAGAGGAGAGUGGAAUUCCAUGUGUAGCGGUGAAAUGCGUAGAUAUAUGGAGGAACACCGGUGGCGAAAGCGGCUCUCUGGCCUGUAACUGACACUGAGGCUCGAAAGCGUGGGGAGCAAACAGGAUUAGAUACCCUGGUAGUCCACGCCGUAAACGAUGAGUGCUAGAUGUAGGGAGCUAUAAGUUCUCUGUAUCGCAGCUAACGCAAUAAGCACUCCGCCGUGGGGAGUACCGACCGCAAGGUUGAAACUCAAAAGGAAUUGACGGGGGCC